GCUGGAGUGGCGGAACUGGCAGACGCGCGAGACUCAAAAUCUCGUGUCCCAAAAGGACGUGGGGGUUCAAGUCCCUCCUCCAGCACCA
rnacentral:tRNA from 1 species